rnacentral:rRNA from 1 species
GAUUAUGGCUCAGAAUGAACGCUGGCGGCAUGGAUUAGGCAUGCAAGUCGAACGAGAAAGCGCCCUCGGGCGCGAGUAAAGUGGCGAAAGGGUGAGUAACACGUGAGGAACCUGCCCCCUGGCCCGGAACAAGCCUGUGAAAACGGGUCUGAAACCGGAUGAGGCCCCCUUCCCGCAUGGGAAGUCAGCCAAAUAUUCAUAGCCAAGGGAUGGCCUCGCGGCCCAUUAGCUAGUUGGCGGGGUGACGGCCCACCAAGGCUACGACGGGUAGGUGGUCUGAGAGGAUGGUCACCCACACUGAGACUGAGACACUGCCCAGACUCCUACGGGAGGCUGCAGUCGAGAAUCUUCCGCAAUGGGCGCAAAGCCUGACGGAGCGAUGCCGCGUGAGGGACGAAGGCCUUCGGGUCGUAAACCUCUGUCGAGGGGAACGAACGCAAUGACGGUACCCCUCAAGAAAGCCACGGCUAACCACGUGCCAGCCGCCGC